rnacentral:rRNA from 1 species
GGGCCCGCACAAGCGGUGGAGUAUGUGGUUUAAUUCGAUGCAACGCGAAGAACCUUACCAGGGCUUAAAUGUAGUGGGACAGGUCUAGAGAUAGACCCUUCUUCGGACUCAUUACAAGGUGCUGCAUGGUUGUCGUCAGCUCGUGCCGUGAGGUGUCAGGUUAAGUCCUAUAACGAGCGCAACCCCUAUCGUUAGUUGCCAGCGAGUAAUGUCGGGAACUCUAACGAAACUGCCAGUGCAAACUGUGAGGAAGGUGGGGAUGACGUCAAAUCAUCACGGCCCUUACGUCCUGGCUACACACGUGCUACAAUGGCCGGUACAGAGAGCAGCCACUUCGCAAGAAGGAGCG